UACGUAGGGGGCGAGCGUUGUCCGGAAUUAUUGGGCGUAAAGAGCGUGUAGGCGGCCAGGUAGGUCUGCUGUGAAAACUCGAGGCUCAACCUCGAGACGUCGGCGGAAACCAUCUGGCUAGAGUCCGGAAGAGGAGAGUGGAAUUCCUGGUGUAGCGGUGAAAUGCGCAGAUAUCAGGAAGAACACCCGUGGCGAAGGCGGCUCUCUGGGACGGCACUGACGCUGAGACGCGAAAGCGUGGGGAGCGAACAGG
rnacentral:rRNA from 1 species